rnacentral:rRNA from 1 species
AGUGAACGCUGGCGGUAGGCCUAACACAUGCAGGUCGAACGGCAGCACAGUAAGAGCUUGCUCUUACGGGUGGCGAGUGGCGGACGGGUGAGGAAUACAUCGGAAUCUACUUUUUCGUGGGGGAUAACGUAGGGAAACUUACGCUAAUACCGCAUACGACCUACGGGUGAAAGCAGGGGAUCUUCGGACCUUGCGCGAUUGAAUGAGCCGAUGUCGGAUUAGCUAGUUGGCGGGGUAAAGGCCCACCAAGGCGACGAUCCGUAGCUGGUCUGAGAGGAUGAUCAGCCACACUGGAACUGAGACACGGUCCAGACUCCUACGGGAGGCAGCAGUGGGGAAUAUUGGACAAUGGGCGCAAGCCUGAUCCAGCCAUACCGCGUGGGUGAAGAAGGCCUUCGGGUGGUAAAGCCCUUUUGUUGGGAAAGAAAAGCAGCAGGUUAAGACCCCGCUGUUCUGACGGUACCCAAAGAAUAAGCACCGGCUAACUUCGU